AUGUAGCAAAAGUAAUAAAAUGUAUGUGUGUCUUCAACUAAAGUCAUAAAAAGUGAAUAAGUGUGCUUAUUUAAGAUAGUGCUUCAAUUUUUUCAUAUUCGUUACGCAAUUUCUACAAUCCGUUAUUCGCUGCGCUCUUGUUGUUGCUGUUUCUACGCGCAGAUUUUUGCAUUCCUUCUUAUUCCCACGCCUAACGGAUUUUACGCGCUCAAGCAUUUAUGUUGCUCUCUCAUCAGAUAUGAACCAGCAAUUCGGAACUUGUUCACCUUGUCAAAAACGGAAGAGGACACACGCUCAAAUGACUUCAAUGAAGGCAAUUUCCUCACACGUCGUCGUCAGAGCGUUGAUUUAAUUUAACCUUAAAUGGGAAACAUCUAUGCACGCGUAUCUUUCCGGACUCUGCGUGGAACGAACGAACAGGACAACCGACGAGUCGAGCAGACGGCACAAAAAGGCCACCAGGACAAGGAGGACAAGCAGGACACGUGCUCGACACCAGCAACUGGAACUAGCCACUGACCAGCGGGCGAGACGUUGCCAACGUGACGAGCUAAACCACCAGCA